AGAGUUUGAUCCUGGCUCAGGAUGAACGCUAGCUACAGGCUUAACACAUGCAAGUCGAGGGGAAACGACAUCGAAAGCUUGCUUUUGAUGGGCGUCGACCGGCGCACGGGUGAGUAACGCGUAUCCAACCUGCCCACCACUUGGGGAUAACCUUGCGAAAGUAAGACUAAUACCCAAUGACGUCUCUAGAAGACAUCUGAAGAGAUUAAGAUUUAUCGGUGAUGGAUGGGGAUGCGUCUGAUUAGCUUGUUGGCGGGGUAACGGCCACCAAGGCGACGAUCAGUAGGGGGUUCUGAGAGGAAGGGUCCCUCGACAUUGGAACUGAGACACGGUCCAAACUCCUACGGGAGGCCA
rnacentral:rRNA from 1 species